rnacentral:rRNA from 1 species
GUAGGUGGCAAGCGUUGUCCGGAAUUAUUGGGCGUAAAGCGCGCGCAGGCGGUUCUUUAAGUCUGAUGUGAAAGCCCACGGGCCCAACCGUGGAGGGUCAUUGGAAACUGGAGAACUUGAGUACAGAAGAGGAAAGCGGAAUUCCACGUGUAGCGGUGAAAUGCGUAGAGAUGUGGAGGAACACCAGUGGCGAAGGCGGCUUUCUGGUCUGUAACUGACGCUGAGGCGCGAAAGCGUGGGGAGCAAACAGGAUUAGAUACCCUGGUAGUCCACGCCGUAAACGAUGAGUGCUAAGUGUUAGGGGGUUUCCGCCCCUUAGUGCUGCAGCUAACGCAUUAAGCACUCCGCCUGGGGAGUACGGCCGCAAAGGCUG